AGCCCUAUCUGUUGCCUCAGCCACCUUAGCUUCAGGGACUUUAUGUCAUGCCCAUCAAGCAAAAUUUGCCCUGAGAGAUAGCAUCAGCAACAGGAACAUCAGUGUCUGUAGUUCAUAUUGCAGUCAAAGUUGAAUGAAUCCCUUCUCCACACAUUGGCUCUUUGUUCUGCUCUUCUUGAAUUGAGCAUACACAAAAAGUAAGAAAAAGCAGCAGCAGAAAGUAAAUUAAAGCACAGAAUCUUUAAGAACAUUGCAGAACAAAGCAUACUGUGGCUUUGUUGCAGGAUUUCUGGGGUACCUGCGGUGGGAUCGUAGAACCUCUCGAUGAGGGAGACCACGGUGCUCUUGCCGGAGCCGCUGCUCCCAACCAAAGCAAUGGUCUUCCCUGCAGCAACAGUCAGGGAGAAGUCCCGAAGCACAGGGACAUCCGGUCUGGAUGGGUACGCGAAGUCCACGUUCUUGAGCUCCACAAGCCCUGUAAUGGCGC